rnacentral:rRNA from 1 species
CCUACGGGAGGCAGCAGUGGGGAAUAUUGCGCAAUGGGGGGAACCCUGACGCAGCAACGCCGCGUGGAGGAAGAAGGUCUUCGGAUUGUAAACUCCUGUCUUCCGGGACGAUAAUGACGGUACCGGAGGAGGAAGCCACGGCUAACUACGUGCCAGCAGCCGCGGUAAUACGUAGGUGGCGAGCGUUGUCCGGAAUUACUGGGCGUAAAGGGCGCGUAGGCGGUUUGUUAAGUUAGAUGUGAAAACCCAGGGCUUAACUUUGGGCGUGCAUUUAAAACUGGAGAACUUGAGUGCAGGAGAGGUAAGUGGAAUUCCUAGUGUAGCGGUGAAAUGCGUAGAUAUUAGGAGGAACACCAGUGGCGAAGGCGACUUACUGGACUGUAACUGACGCUGAGGCGCGAAAGCGUGGGGAGCAAACAGGAUUAGAUACCCUUGUAGUC